GUUGUCGAAAAGUCUUUUCAACGCAUGACCGGAAGUCGUUGGUUCUGCCUGUGGCUCAGCGUGGCGCAUUUGACGUUUUCAGUUCAUCAUGCAUACCUUGCAUGCUCUUCUUCACCACUAAACCGCAUUGUCGCCCACGGAAUACUACACUUAGUUAUCAGCAUCAAUCAGACCAUAGAGUUCAGAAGCAUCAUCAUCAUCAUCAUCAAUGGUGUGUCAACAACUAGCAGCCGGCACAUUUUCCCGUGUACGCUCAAUGAACUAUCUCCACAGCUCACAUCACGGCUGCAUAUGUAUGGCGUUUGUGAAGCUUGGAGGGGAGUUUUGCCAGGCACAGCACCUACUGCUCAUUGUGGACAAGUGAACAGGAGAACCAGAUACCACAACUGCCA
ensembl:lncRNA